UACAGAGGGUGCAAGCGUUAAUCGGAAUUACUGGGCGUAAAGCGUGCGUAGGCGGUGACUUAAGUCUGUUGUGAAAUCCCCGGGCUCAACCUGGGAAUGGCAAUGGAUACUGGGUCGCUAGAGUGUGAUAGAGGAUGGUGGAAUUCCCGGUGUAGCGGUGAAAUGCGUAGAGAUCGGGAGGAACAUCAGUGGCGAAGGCGGCCAUCUGGAUCAACACUGACGCUGAGGCACGAAAGCGUGGGGAGCAAACAGG
rnacentral:rRNA from 1 species